AUGGCGACCGGCGCACGGGUGAGUAACACGUAUCCAGCCUGCCGAUAACUCGGGGAUAGCCUUUCGAAAGAAAGAUUAAUACCCGAUGGUAUAAUCAGACCGCAUGGUUUGAUUAUUAAAGAAUUUCGGUUAUCGAUGGGGAUGCGUUCCAUUAGGCAGUUGGUGAGGUAACGGCUCACCAAACCUUCGAUGGAUAGGGGUUCUGAGAGGAAGGUCCCCCACAUUGGAACUGAGACACGGUCCAA
rnacentral:rRNA from 1 species